UGGAAUUAUUUAAGGUAGCACUACAGUCUAACGAUGAUUUUUUGAAGAUAUUUUUUUUAUCACAUAAUUUUGAAGUAAGAAUUAUUCUGCACAGUUUGUAAAAAUCCUAAAGUCAUUAUCAUAUCACAACAGGGAGUAAAUUGAUAAUGAACUUAUGUAAAUAAAAGCACAUGGUAAUUAAUCUAAAUAUAUAGGCAUUUGGGAGGGGCUAAUAUGUCAAUCAUCUGUUGAUACCAGUGUCCAGCUGUUAAUCCCUGACCACAAGAUAAAUAUUGUAGUCUUUUCUUAUUGUUUUGCAACAAAAAUAAUUUAUAUAACAUGGAAGUGAACAAAGAAAAAGAAAAAAUCUAAAAGGAAAAAAAAUCUACAAAAAAUGAAAUAAAAUUAAUAUGGUACUAUGGAAAUGAGUGGGAAAGUAUUUUUGAAAGCCUCUGACUGUCUGUAUAAAUGUCUUCUCUUUGGUCUUAUUCAUUUAAAUACAGUUUUAUGCAUUUUAAACUAAUUUUCAGUUUAUGUGUAAUUUUUCAGUUCCAUUAUAUUAAAAAAAAAAAAACGUGUGGGAAAGUGGAUUUUUAAGAAGAGUGUGGUCUAACUCUUGAUCUUUUUAUGAACAUGUUUUUUGAUGCACACUUUUAAGGUUCUAGCUUAUUUCAGACAGUUUAUUUCUUUUUU
rnacentral:lncRNA from 1 species